CAUCAUACCGUGAAACUGCGAAUGGCUCAUUAAAUCAGUUAUCGUUUAUUUGAUAGUACCUUACUACUUGGAUAACCGUGGUAAUUCUAGAGCUAAUACAUGCUUAAAACCCCAACUUCGGAAGGGGUGUGUUUAUUAGAUAAAAAACCAACGCCCUUCGGGGCUUCUUGGUGAUUCAUGAUAACUUUACGGAUCGCAUGGCCUUGCGCCGGCGACGGUUCAUUCAAAUUUCUGCCCUAUCAACUUUCGAUGGUAAGGUAUUGGCUUACCAUGGUUUCAACGGGUAACGGGGAAU
rnacentral:rRNA from 1 species